rnacentral:rRNA from 1 species
GAUGAACGCUAGCUGGAGGCUUAAUACGUGCAAGUCGAGCGGGAUUGGGUAGCAAUACCCAUGAGAGCGGCGCACGGGUGAGUAACGCGUACACGACCUACCUCUAACAGGGGGAUAGCCCUGGGAAACUGGGAUUAAUACCGCAUAUUAUUCUGAAUAAUAAAGGUUUGGAAUGAAAGCUGAGGCGGUUAGAGAUGGGUGUGCGUCUGAUUAGCUAGUUGGUAGGGUAACGGCCUACCAAGGCGAUGAUCAGUAGGGGGCGUGAGAGCGUGGUCCCCCACACGGGUACUGAGGCACGGACCCGACUCCUACGGGAGGCAGCAGUAAGGAAUAUUGGUCAAUGGGCGAAAGCCUGAACCAGCCAUCCAGCGUGCAGGAAGAAGGCCCUAUGGGUUGUAAACUGCUUUUAUCAGGGAAGAAACCUCUGGAUUUACUCCGGAGCUGACGGUACCUGAAGAAUAAGCACCGGCUAACUCCGUGCCAGCAGCCGCUGUAACAC